rnacentral:rRNA from 1 species
AACGAACGCUGGCGGCAUGCCUAACACAUGCAAGUCGAACGAGUGCCUUCGGGUGCUAGUGGCGCACGGGUGCGUAACGCGUGGGAAUCUGCCCUUAGGUUCGGAAUAACAGCUGGAAACGGCUGCUAAUACCGGAUGAUAUCGCGAGAUCAAAGAUUUAUCGCCUGAGGAUGAGCCGGGGUUGGAUUAGGUAGUUGGUGGGGUAAAGGCCUACCAAGCCGACGAUCCAUAGCUGGGCUGAGAGGAUGUUCAGCCACACUGGGACUGAGACACGGCCGAGACUCGUACGGGAGGCAGCAGUGGGGAAUAUUGGACAAUGGGCGCCAGCCUGAUCCAGCAAUGCCGCGUGAGUGAUGAAGGCCCUAGGGUUGUAAAGCUCUUUUACCCGGGAAGAUAAUGACUGUACCGGGAGAAUAAGCCCCGGCUAACUCCGUGCCAGCCGCCGCGGUAA